AUCACUUGGGGAUCUUGUCAAAUGUAGAUUUUGAUUCAGCAGGUAUAGGGUGAGGCCUGAGAUUCUACAUUUCCAACAAGCUCCCAGGUGAUGCUAA
rnacentral:pre_miRNA from 1 species